GGCGGAUGCCAGCGGUUCGAGUCCGCUUAUCUCCA
rnacentral:tRNA from 1 species